CUUGAUGCCACCCAACAGCAGCGGCACCGAGCGAUCCUGCCCGUAAGUCGCCAACAACGCCUGAGCCUC
rnacentral:antisense_RNA from 1 species